rnacentral:pre_miRNA from 1 species
UAAUUUAUCUUUAUUAGAUUCUUAUUUAAUUAUAUCAGAUCUUCAUCCAAAUGGUCAAAACCUUUAGUUUUUACAAAAUUGAUUGCAUCAUUCUUUUAAGAUAUUAGAAGUCUUCUGAUGGCUAAGAA